rnacentral:rRNA from 1 species
CACGGCCCAGACUCCUACGGGAGGCAGCAGUGGGGAAUAUUGGACAAUGGGGGCAACCCUGAUCCAGCCAUGCCGCGUGUGUGAAGAAGGCCUUUUGGUUGUAAAGCACUUUAAGCAGGGAGGAGAGGCUAAUGGUUAAUACCCAUUAGAUUAGACGUUACCUGCAGAAUAAGCACCGGCUAACUCUGUGCCAGCAGCCGCGGUAAUACGGAGGGUGCGAGCGUUAAUCGGAAUUACUGGGCGUAAAGCGAGUGUAGGUGGCUCAUUAAGUCACAUGUGAAAUCCCCGGGCUUAACCUGGGAACUGCAUGUGAUACUGGUGGUGCUAGAAUAUGUGAGAGGGAAGUAGAAUUCCAGGUGUAGCGGUGAAAUGCGUAGAGAUCUGGAGGAAUACCGAUGGCGAAGGCAGCUUCCUGGCAUAAUAUUGACACUGAGAUUCGAAAGCGUGGGUAGCAAACAGUAUUAGAUGCCCUGG